AAUAAAUAAAUAAAUAAAUAAAUAAAUAAAUAAAUAAAUAAAUAAAUAAAUAAAUAAAUAAAUAAAUAAAUAAAUAAAUAAAUUAUUGAUUUGCUUCCAGAACGUUGAGCAAAGCCUUCGGCUAAUUGCCGAGGUGGAAAGACGGCCUGCUUUAUGGCAAAAGCGGUCGGAUUUUUACAAGAACGGAAUUCGGCGUAGGGAUGCGUGGACCGAGAUUGGUGGAAUCUUGGAACUUACCGUCGAAGAGUCCAGUUACCAGUGGAGGAAGCUGCUGACCAGCUACCGGAGAUAUAAGUCCAAGCUGCGUAAAAGUCAGCAAAGCGGAUCAGCGGCUGAGGACGUUUUUCGGCCAAGAUGGUUCGCCUUCGACGCGAUGAAGUUCCUUGAUGAUACCAUGAAGGACGGCACGCAUCUCGAUACGACGACCUAGACCUACAAACCUCCACCGAAGCCCACUCAAUCCCUACUUGUUCCUAUUCCUCAAUUCCGCCGCAACCAACAAUCCCAGCACCAACAACUCCAGCACCAACAACCGCAGCACCAACAACUCCAGCACCAACACCAGUACCAACCCCAGCACCAACCCCAGCACCAACCCCAGCACUAAUCCUAGCACCAACCCCAGCACCAACAACAGCGGGAAACUAUUUUACCAGGUUUGGCCAGUGGGUGGGGACAUGGUUGAACCAUUUACCACCCGAGCAACAAAACGAUGCCACAGAUCAUUUGCAGCAGACGAUGCUACAGUGGGAUCUCCAAAAAUAAUAAUAAUAAUGUUUAUAAAAACAUACCUUAACGUAGCUCCGCAAAUGUUUAUUUAAACAAGCAUACACAUCCUUCACAAUUUUGGUAAUCGACGAUUUAGAAACCUAAAAUUAUGCCAUACUCAUGUGGUAUUUUUUUAGAUGGUCACGGGUUUUUCGAUUUUGGGACGGUUGCCAUGUAGCAACUUUGAACUCGCGUUGGCCAGGGUGGCCUUCAAACAUCUUUUAAGGAAGGUCAUCGUUUGCCGAAUUAAGCAGAACUGAGGUGGAUACUGUUUCGACGCGGACUUUCGACACUUGAUCGUCCAGGCGAUCAUAGAAACUUUUAGGUGGUUUCCCUUACUGAAAACGUUGGAGUUUAGAGGCCUUAUCUUGGGCAGGGGGACAUAACUAAACUCUUUAAAUGAGAAGUCGGAGUUGGUUUUAUUUAUACUCAAAAGAAGUUAAAGGCUUCGCACCUUUGGUUCCGGGUUAUAUGUUAGAAAGUUAUUGUUUUCACUAAACUAGUUACGGUUAUCUUUUGUUGACAAAACCAAUGGUUUGUCACUAAGUUCCUGUUUUGGGUUUAAUGCUUACACUGCUCCUGCUUUGGGUUAUAAUGCAUACACUGUUCCUACUUAUGUUGUACGUUUCGGUUGGUUCUGUUAAGUGUGUCACAAUUGUUUUUACAUGAACGGUGUGGCCUGAGCUUUUCCGGGUGUGUAUGGUAUGAUCUGAUUUGCUGAGCGUGUUAUAAUGAAUGUGUUGCAAUGGUGUGAUUUGGUUUUACAAUGUGUCUAUAGCUGAUAGUGUGUAUUAUAAUAAGUUCUGUAUAUCAGAUAUGCUACAUUCAUUACAAUACGAACAUGUUAUUUUAAUUCGUAUUCAGCAUUCGGCUCUUGCACGGUUUUCGAUUGCUGACUUCUCUUCACUUGCUUAUGUCCGAAAAAGUUUAAUCAGUCCUGCGGGGAGACGGUUUGAAUGAGAUUCGAUUCACAGUGCUGCCAUAGAAAAGACCGACCAAGAUACCGUCUCCAAUCCGACCGCCGAAACAAGAAAAAAAACAAAACAUUCUUACGCGAAAUAAGUAUUUCAAUCUUUUAAAUGUCUCCCCCGUUGCAAAAUACCGCAAUGCUAUUAGAAGCCUUUCUUGAUGUGAUCGCUUCUCGCAUUUUUGUAUCUAUACGGCUUAUUUCUGGACCGACCAAGACAUAAAGACGAUCGAAAUCUUCGUGUUCCAUCCGUAUAAAAAUGUUUAUGAUGAAUUUUGCCGUGUUGUUUGAUGGACUUCAAUUAUUGAUCUAAAUUUUAUAUCAUAUGCUUUAAAGAUAAUCAACGCGAAAGCAAACAUCACCAGUGAUAUAUGGUAUCAUUUCAUAAAAUCUGUGGGAGCAGCUAAGUGCCGUUAUUGUCGACAAGUACUGUCACACUUGAAGGAAUCUACAUCAAAUUUGAAACGGCAUAUGGAUCGUAAGCAUCCGACAGUUCCGCUGCAGAGGAGUAACCAGCCAUCGAUAUCAGAUUCACAAUUUGAUGCUGGAUCAGAAGGUACUUCGGCUCAAACAAAUGUUCGCGGCAAAGGAGAUUUUUUUUUAAAUCCAUUAAACCAAUGAGCUCAGAUGCAAAGAAAGAACUUGCCAUUCAAUUGCUAUUGAUGAUAUGUACAGAAUAUCAUCCUUUUUCGAUUGUAGAGGAUUAAAAUUUCACGCAGUUUGUAAAAACAUUAAAUUCUAAGUAUGAAUCACCCAGUAGAAAAAGCAUUUCAAACGGAGCAUUGCCUGCGCUGUACAACGAUACUCUGGAAGUCGUAAAGAGAAGUAUAAUAACAAGUUCAUUAAUUUUAUUAAGAGUAGAUUGUUGGAUUGACGUUAACAAAACUAGAUUUUGCUCAGUAACAAUACAUUUUAUAAACAGUUUGUACGAUCUUUGUAGUCAUUUGCAUGAAUGUUAGGAAUUUUCAACAAGUCAUACCGGUAAAAAUAUUGCCGCUUGGAUUACUAAUGUAACAGACACCUUCCAAUAUCUGAAAAAAUCUGUUUUGGAGACUGAUAAUGCUGCUAAUAUGAAAACAACUGUAGUCAUAUUAAAUAUUCCUCAUCUUUCAGGCGGUGCCCGCACGCUCAAUUUAGUACUUAAGGACGAGAUAUAGUAACGCAUUUCGAAAAAAGCUCCAAAGCUACCCAAAAACUAUCUGAGAGACAAUAGGAUUUCAAUUAUCCCUAAUUAAAGUUAAAAACCCGUUGUCAUAUUCGUUGGAAUUAUGCAUUUGAAAUGUUUAAACGUUUCAACCAAGACAGAGUUCCAUUAGCUUCAUGUGGUUGCUGUGGUUGCUGCAUUAAAAAUCAAUUCUAGGCUAGAUGACGAAGAUUGAAUAAUAAUAGAACAGGCAAUUUUUUAUGUUUAAUACCGUUACAACCGAAAUUAUGGCAGAUCACUAUUUCAAUUUUUGUGGAAUUUUUCUAAAUAAAAUCUCAAAAUUUAGGUGUUUAGUAAGCUAUAAUUUGCAAUGUUAUACCUGCUCUCUAUAAUUGUGGGGUGCUAUAAUUAUAACUGCUAACACUAGCGGCGAAAAAACUGCCUAGGCUCGCAAGCUCUUUAAUGCGAGGGCUCUGGGGCGGUGAACUUGUAUGACGUGCGAGCCCUUGCGCGUCCUCGCAAAUCACUGGAAAUUGCAUG